UCCGGGAUGUCUGGAGCGCUUGUUGCCGUGGUUCACUCAUUCAGACUUCUUGAGCUUAGAUGAUAAAAAUGUCCCACCAGGACUUAAUUUAUGAGCAAAUUAGCUGUCAAAACAGUCCCAUGGUUUGUUAACAAAAAUGCCGUGGCUGCAGGAUUACACUUUAUAUAACUUUAAUAAUAGGCCACUACACAUAAAUGGCUAAAUCAGCCACUGCAAUAAUCAAACGUGGACAAGUUGGAGGAUACAUUUAAAGCAAACGAAGUUAAAUGAAGUGCACCAGUCCCUCCUGCAGCAAAGCACCCCCACAACAUGAUGCUGCCACCCUCAUGCUUCACGGUUGGGAUGGUGUUCUUCGGCUUGCAAGCCUCACAAAAAAGUUCAAGUUUUGUUUCAUCAGACCAGAGGACGUUUCUCCAAAAUCAUCUUCACAAGGUCCUUUGCUGUUGUUCUGGGAUUGAUUUGCACUUUUCGCACCAAACUACGUUCAUCUCUAGGAGACAGAAUGCAUCACCUUCCUGAGUGACAAAACUUUGGAGGAUCAGAAGAAAGAGAUCCAGGAGAAGGAUAGGUCGUCUGACCAAGAAACUGUGAAAGAAAGCUCUCUUAAAGCUGCACAUGACAUUAUCUGGAGAUUCUCUAGAUUUCCUGGAAGGAGGGAUAAAGAGUAGGGCUGUGCCAAUACAAUCAAAUAUCAAUAUAUCGUGAUACUUUUUCUCAUGCUAUUGUAUCAAUCCCAGUAUCAAUAUUUUUUAAAAAAAUUUUUGUGUGUGUGUAUUUAUAUCAUGCCCAACAGUUCAAUAAAG